rnacentral:rRNA from 1 species
GUUCGGAUUGUAGUCUGNAACCCGACUACAUGAAGCUGGAAUCGCUAGUAAUCGCGGAUCAGAAUGCCGCGGUGAAUACGUUCCCGGGUCUUGUACACACCGCCCGUCACACCAUGGGAGUCGGAAAUGCCCGAAGUCUGUGACCCAACCGCGAGGAGGGAGCAGCCGAAGGCAGGUCGGAUGACUGGGGUGAAGUCGUAACAAGGUACC